GGAUGUGAGUGAAAUCUGGCUGCGGUGGUCACUCCAUUUAUAGCCAGGGUUGAUAUAGCUGGUCUGGCUGGCUAGGCAGGUGUCCCCUUCCUCCCUCACUGCUCCAUGUGCAUCCCUCCCAAAGUUGCACACUUGGUCAAAGUGGACAGCUUUCCCAGAUAGAAAUGUACUGUUCGUGGGUCACACGUAUAUGGUAGCUGUUCUGCCCUGCUGGAGCAUACAAACAAGCUCAAGGUCCAGUUGUAGGAGAACAUAGGGUAGUCAAGCUUCCAAGGCUGCAGACACAUCAAGGUGCGAAGCUGCAUUGGGCAGUCUGCCACUGCUU
rnacentral:snRNA from 1 species